UACGGAGGGGGCUAGCGUUGUUCGGAAUUACUGGGCGUAAAGCGCACGUAGGCGGACUGUUAAGUUGGGGGUGAAAUCCUGGGGCUCAACCUCAGAAUUGCCUCCGAUACUGGCAGUCUCGAGUUCGGUAGGGGAGACUGGAAUUCCUGGUGUAGCGGUGAAAUGCGCAGAUAUCAGGAGGAACACCGGUGGCGAAGGCGGGUCUCUGGGCCGAUACUGACGCUGAGGAGCGAAAGCGUGGGGAGCGAACAGG
rnacentral:rRNA from 1 species